ACACACACACACACACACACACACACACACACACACACACACACAAGUAAACAAAACAAUACAGCAAACAAAGUUGUGGCUGAACAGAAACGGAAUGAAAACCAAGACACCUACAACAGAACACAGGUCCAAAAAGACUACAUUUAAUCAGAUUUCACUUUCAGGAGGAAAAGAUGGCUCAUUAAUAUCAGAAGGGCUGACCUCAGACUUAGUCUGUCCCAUGCAGAAAUGAUGCAGGGAGGAUAUGUGGUGUGUGAGCUACAUUUUGAGGAGCGCUUUCUUCGAAAAUCUAAUGGAAGAAAAGCACUCACACAAGAAGCCAUCCCCACAUUGGUGAACUGUGGAAACCCACCACUGCUUGCCUCUCCUCCUCUGAAAAGGCAGAGAAUCAACAGAGCCUUAAAGAGAUCCUGCCCAACUGCUCAGAAAAGUGCCGUGAUUUCAUCCGGGCCCAGCUGUCAGAGGCAGGGAAAAAGGGUAGAGGGAGGAGAUUUGGAAGGACUCUGAAGGAAAUGGGGCUGCAAAUUCUACACAGCAGCCCUAAGAAUUACAGAUAUUUGCGCAGUAUUUUUGCACUGCCCUCACCUACAACUCUUCACAGAUUCGUUACGGCACGAGUCGGAUAC